CGCGAAUCGCCCUUCGGGGUGCAGCAGGCGCGAAAACUUUACAAUGCUGGCAACAGCGAUAAGGGGACCUCGAGUGCCAGGAUACAAUCUUGGCUGUCGCGAUGCCUAAAAAGCAUUGCAUAGCAAGGGCCGGGCAAGACCGGUGCCAGCCGCCGCGGUAACACCGGCGGCUCGAGUGGUAACCGCUAUUAUUGGGUCUAAAGGGUCUGUAGCCGGCCGGAUAAGUCUUUUGGGAAAUCCAGCUGCUCAACAGUUGGGCUUUCAGAAGAUACUGUUCGGCUCGAGACCGGGAGAGGUGAGAGGUACUUCAGGGGUAGGGGUGAAAUCUUGUAAUCCUUGAAGGACACCAGUGGCGAAGGCGUCUCACCAGAACGGAUCUGACGGCAAGGGACGAAAGCUAGGGGCACGAACCGGAUUAGAUACCCGGGUAGUCCUAGCCGUAAACGAUACUCGCUAGGUGUCAGCCACGGUGCGACCGUGGUUGGUGCCGUAGGGAAGCCGUGAAGCGAGUCACCUGGGAAGUACGGCCGCAAGGCUGAAACUUAAAGGAAUUGGCGGGGGAGCAC
rnacentral:rRNA from 1 species